GACAGAGGGUGCAAACGUUGUUCGGAAUUACUGGGCGUAAAGCGCGUGUAGGCGGCCAUCUAAGUCGGGCGUGAAAUCCCACGGCUCAACCCGUGGAAGUGCACUCGAAAACUGGAUGGCUAGAGUCCUGGAGAGGAAGGUGGAAUGCUUGGUGUAGAGGUGAAAUUCGUAGAUAUUGGGAAAGAACACCGGUGGCGAAGGCGGCGACCUGGUCCGUGACUGACGCUGAGGCGCGAAAGCGUGGGGAGCGAACAGG
rnacentral:rRNA from 1 species